rnacentral:lncRNA from 1 species
UCUAAUUUCUCCGAAGUUAAAGUUAAACGUUGAACGCAAGUAGGAGAAAUAAAAUAAUGGGUAGAACCGGUAUCAAAUAAGGUAUAGACUUCGCUAGAGUUUAUGAUUAGCUUACCCGUGAUGACUUCGUUCGGGUUCUUUGCUUUUUGGGAGGUCACGACAAACGCUCUCCCUUGAACUAUCGACUUUGACUUCUCUAGGACGACCUUUGGUGCCUCCAUCCCAGCUGGACUUGACUUCACUUCAUGAUAAAAUCGGACUAGGUGACCUUCUUUUCCACAAUUAUAACACGCUUUGGAUUGAUGC